UUUUACUGUGUGGCUUCAUCGCGCUGACUAAUGCCGUCCAUCCCACGUUUUGCAACGCUACGUUUAUUCAAAAGAUCACGCAAACGAUCACGCCCAAGCAGUGUAAUGCAUUACAUUCAGAUGUGGAACUCUGAGUCUGGAAUAACGUAGUCAUUCAUUCAUUCAUUUCUUUCAUUCAUUAUGGAUCAAAUUAUUGUUUCUGUACAAGUCCCGUCUCUGGCCACAGCAGCGCUCCCACUCAUUAUGGGUUCCUCCUGUAUAAAAGUUAGUAUGGACAAGACAAUAAUUGCUUACGGCCAUACCACCCUGAGCACGCGCGAUCUCGUCUGAUCUCGGAGGCUAAGCAGGGUCAACUCGAGCUCAUUGGCUGCAAUAGAGUUCCGGGUGUUGACGUUGUUGGGGCGGGGAAAACGUGGGCACCACCAUUUUGGCAGUAUUCGGCAGACUGGCGCUCUUGUGGUGGAGCAGACAUGGUCGAUAACUGUUGUGCACCAGGUUGCACAAAUAAACGAGGCAAAAAUAAAUGUACGUCGUUCUACCGCAUUCCUAAAGAUGCGGAGAGGCGAGCUAAGUGGAUCAGCGCCAUUAAAAGAGCCAGGAGCAAGCAAAAAAAGACUGAAAAAUGGGACCCCCCGGCUGUUGGAUUCCGCUUGUGCAGCGAUCACUUCAUAUCAGCCAAUGAUGCCGAAAACUAAAAGAAAAAGACAGGGGACUAUAGACGGCUUUUUCAAGAGAAAACAAGUAAGUUGACUUCUCUCCCUCUGCAGACACUGACGUGCUUGCAAGUUGCAAGCUAUAGGCUAUCUGUUUCGAGUGCUACCGCGGUUGGGAUGCACAGGUUUGACUAGGGCUACAGGUAGCCUUUAGGGAGAGUAGAGAUCCUCUUGCGAUUCGUCAUUUUCAAACCUUGAGAAAACGCACUUCAAUCUACAAGGUGUAUUGCUGAAAAUAUACACAAAGUAUGUGUCACAGCAAUCAACUUAGGCCUACUGGUUUAAUGAAUGUGAAUGAAUGCUGUGAUACACGAAAAUCCGGAGAAUUGUGCGAUUCGCUUUCUCAGCACACUUGAACGUGAAAUGUCCUCAACAGUGUGUGUCAAGGGUUCAUCUUGUUUUCUUAGAACAUUAGAAGCAUGCAAGUGCGUUCCAUUCGAUCAGACACGUUUUAUUUUCAGUUAGGCUACUGUAUAAUCAGUAAUACCACACCAUAAACACAUAAGCCCAACAUUAUACAUAGAUCAUAGAUAGGUCUCAGCAUGAAAUGGAGAACAUUUGAAGUUGAACUUGACCACUGGUUUGACAGCCUGCACUCUGUGUGUCACUACAUAAUAACAUCACUACAUACAAGUAACAAACGCUCUAGCCAAAUGUCAUUAGAGCUACAGUUAUUGAACAUUCAUGCAACAGCCUCAAGUGGCUUUACAAAUGUGUUUUGUCUCUGCUCAUUAUGACAAACUAAUUGUUCUGCAAUCAUUUUCCUGUCCAACAGAUCCAGCUUGUGCUUUUGAACAUAACACACGGUUACACUGUUGAGACAUGUUUGUGUCAUUGUACUUCGCAUCCAUGUUUUCAGCCUUCAGAGGCUGCUGAAGCUCCUUUCAGCUUUAUCACACAGUGUGUGUGUGUGUGUGUGUGUGUGUGUGUGUGUGUGUGUGUGUGUGUGUGUGUGUGUGUGUGUGUGUGUGUGUGUGUGUGUGUGUGUGUGUGUGUGUGUGUCAAACAAACACACAAUGAGUCAUACACACACACACACACACACACACACACAGUGUAUCUGCUCGCAUUUCUUCCAUUUUGUAGGCCUAGAUGUAUGUAAAAGUUCAUAUAAUUGAUCAUCGCUAUUUGGAAUGAUUAUUUCUUCGCCUAUUCCAGAACACCCCCACUUUUGGAAAGCUUGAUACGCCCCUGAUUGUGGUUUCGGAUCAGUUUAAUACUACAGUGUGCACAGUGAUCUGGGAGCAGCUUUAUGAGGCUGUGCUUCUGCAUGGACAUGUACAGCAUCAUAAAUCCCCUGCAUGUUAAUGGGUUGAUGUGCAAUGAGAUAGAUGAACAGCAAUGCUGAACAGUGCAUGAUACAGCCAGCACAGUUAAAUGACACAAAGAAAUAAAUAACACUAUUUAUUUAGCUUCUAUUUCUACUCAGGGAAGAUUCAAAGUGAGCAAUCAAACCCUGGUUGGAUGUGUCAUUUAGCCCUUUGAGUGUGGUGUAUGUGAUAAUGCGUAGCAUAGCUCAGGGCAGACAUUGUAGGCAUCAGCUCUAGCCAAAGGCCAGGUUCAAUGAAGUGGACUGAAAUAUGUUCCCACCUGAAUGGUGCUUUGGCUGUGCAGUUCACAUGCACAGUUUGUCCACAUGCACCUAUUCAUCCCCCAGCGAUUGUAGCCCAGCUUCUUUUAGGUUUUAGAUUUUAGAUAUGUUAAGUUUAAGUCUACCUUCCUUUUUUUACGUGAACUUGCCUCACUGUUUAAAUAAUGUCUGCCUCUGACUCAUCAAUUGUUUACUUAUAUUCCUCAGGGCCCGAAAGGACCAAGAGGUGAAAGGGGACCCCAGGGCCCUGACGGGAGGGACGGCAGACCUGGCAACCCCGGCCCUGCUGGGCCCCCAGGACCCCCUGGCCUCGGCAGGAGUAAGUAUCCUAUAGGGGCCGACUUGGUCAACUGCUGGGUGGGGGGACUGAAGGUGGAUGUUGGUUCUAAAAUGUGACUGUGUGGGGGACUGAAGGUGGAUGUUGGUUCUAAAGUGCUGCUGGGUGGGGGAACUGAAGAUGGAUGUUGGUUCUAAAGUGUUCCUAGGUGGGGGAACUGAAUGUUGAUGAAGGCCUCUCAGUAAAUAAGGUUAACCGGCUGGUAUAUCCUAUUGUAACCGUAAGGUAUAGAAGCUACAGGAAGAUGCUGAUUUGCUGUUCAUCUGUUUGAUAAACGAUCAAGCCCUUAAACUCACCUGACCCAAAUUCUGGCACAAUUAUAGCAAUGGAACAGACAAUAACCUAUGAAUUAGAAAAUAAGUAUAUUGUAUUGUAUGAAUUUUUAUAUGUAUAUUUUGUCUCUUAUUCUGGUUUUUAUUUUUCACUCCAACAGAACUUUGCUGCUCAGUAUGAUCACAACAAAGGCGCUGAUAUUGGUCCCGGCCCCAUGGGAAUGAUGGGAAUGAAAGGCCAACCUGGACUUCCCGGCCCCCCUGGAGAAGGAGUGAUAAUCCCUUGAGUCCGGACUUUGUUCCAUCUCUUUUCAACUACGUUCCAUCUCCAGAGAAGAGGAAAAGAAAAAUGAGACUGGAGGUUUUCAACAGACGACAGGGAGCAAAGCUACAGAAGAUGGAGCAGACAAAGCUAUCUGCGAAAGCCAUCCCUCCCAGAGCAUCAACAGAUUGUCCCCAAGACUGCAACAAGGAUCCUACUGCAGAGCAAAGUCCCACCACAGAGCCUUUGAAGGAAUCUACCCAUGAAGAACCUGGAAACGAUGUCCAGCCUGUUCUCCAUGAGGAGGAUCCAGCAACCCCACCAUGCACCACUGAAACCUGUGGUAAACGCGUCCAAUCUCUUGAGCAAGAAUGCCAAGCUCUGAGGACUGAAAAUAUGUUGUUGAAGGAAAAAAUGAAUAGGACUACACUGAAUGAGAUGAGCUUGCAUAACGAUGAUAAAAGGGUUCAUACUCUCACUGGUUUAUCAGCAUUCUCCAUUCUCAUGACAAUUUUUCAUAUUGUGGCUCCUUUUCUCCAACUUAAAUCUAGUUUAACAUGUUUUCAGCAGUACAUGUUAACUUUAAUUAAGCUUAGAAUGAACUUGUCCUUUGAGUUUUGGGCUUUUAUUUUGACAUUGACUCAACCACUGUUUCAAAGCUCUUCAAACACUGCAUUAGUGUGAUGCAUUGUAGACUGGUGCCAAGUCUGGUGUUGUGGCCUGACAGAGAAUACUUAAGAAAAUCUCUUCCAUAUGCAUUUCGAAACCGUAGCUUUGAAAAGACAGUUUGCAUUAUAGAUUGUUUUGAAAUAUUUCUAGAGAAACCCAGUAGAUUGCUAGCCAGUGCUCAGUGUUACUCAUCAUACAAAUCACACCACACAAUGAAAUAUUUAAUUGCAAUUUGCCCUCGAGGUUCCAUUUGUUUCAUUUCCGCUGGAUGGGGAGGUCGCACAAGUGAUAAGUUUAUCACAGAACAAAGUCACUUUUUAUCUCCUUUGCUCCCAGGGGACGUAGUUUUAGCGGACAGAGGUUGUCUGGUUAAAGAGUCCAUUGAGAGAUGCCAAGCUGAAUUAAAAAUUCCAGCAUUUACUCGUGGAUAGAAGCAGUUAGAUCCUGCUGACUUGGAGAACACCAGACGUCUAGCCUCUCUUAGGAUACAUAUUGAAAGAGUGAUAGGAGUUCUCCGUCAAAAGUACACAGUCUUGCAAAGCACUGUCCCCAUAUGUUUCACGGACAUAGACAGGGAAAAUGAUGUGACCUACCUUGACAAGAUGGUGAGCGUGUGUUGUGCACUUACAAAUGUGUCUGAAUCUCUGGUGUCCUUCCAGUGAUGGGGAUGUACAGUAAAUUGAACUGAUGUGACUGGCUACAGAUGUGCUCAACCAGCAAAUAAACCUUUGUGACUCACACUUCUUGCUUGCUUGUCGUGACAUUAUUUUUAAUCACUCGCUAUUCUGAUGCGAUCACAUCGUUUCUCUUUGCAGAUCAAGCUGCACAUCCACCCAUUCUAACUUGAGUUCCACCCAAACAGACUGGUGUGUUUUAUAUGAAUGACCCACCCAUGUUUCAUAUCCCUGAUUGCUACAGAUAUCUAAUACAAAUUAUGGGGAAGAGAACAAUAUUGGUUUAACAACUGUUUAUUCAUAAAUAACAGUACAGUAUCAGCUACUACAAACAACUCAUUUCACAGUCUCCUCACUAAGGUUUUCUUCUUUGGGCAUUGAUCACUUUUCGGCAGAUGGGACAUACCCACUGUUUUGGGACCCUUUUCAUGCGAAGGCAGGUCUGGUGAAACUUUUUAACUGAACAAAAACCUGACGCACAGACCACCAUGUUCCCUGCUUCUGGCUCAGGGCAGUAGCACCACUGUUGUUGACUAUGAUCAGCAAAUGCUGCUGCUGCUGGUGCUGGUUUCUGUGCAGAAAAACACUUUACUGCCUAAUUAACAGAAAGGUCCUUUGCAGAAAAUGGGCACUUAAUUUCUAUGACACCUGAACCACAGCAGCUACAGGAAACGUAUCCAUCAGGUGAGGCCCCAAUGCAGGGGUGAAAUCCUGAAUCCAGCUGUUCCUACCAUGACAUUCGUGUGUGAGAGGCGAUGACGCAUUUCAUAGUAUUUCCUUGCCAAGUCCUCGUGUUGACAUCCCCAACUGAAGAAAACAACAAUAACAUUAGUUUUGGACAAUGCCACCCCACAUUGGUACCGCCCUGCUCUUUCAAAAGGAUACUACCUACUUGGUUUAACACUCCUGCUUUUUAAGAAUAGUACUUCCUGGAUUUACCCUCCCUGUUAUUGUACCUACUUCACAUUCAUUUGAUUGUACACCAUCUGGAAAUGACCAUUUUACACACAGGAGCAGUUACACACUGCAUGCCCUGUUUUACCCUAAUCCUUCUAUGCUCAUGAAUACCUGGUAGCCUCACUGGUGAAACUAUGGGACUUUUGGGUAGCAUAUUUGUCUUAUUAGAGACACUGCAGGCUUUCUGACGUCUGUCUUUGUGGCUGCUCUGAAGGUAGUUAUAUCUAUCCGGAUACUGCAGAUCUGGGACGUCUUCUUCAGCGGAGAUGCUUUUGAAAAGCACCCCGGGGGCAUUGUAUGGGUCGGUAAUAUUUAACCUAUUUAAUUUUUGCAUAUAGAGCUCGAUGUCAUGCGAAUUAAAGUGAGAUGAGUACUCCGAUGGCUUGAAAGCUUCGGCGCCGGGUCAUUUUAAGGAAGAUCUUUAAGGGCGGCGCUUGAUUUUACUGACAAAAUGGCGUUCCGAACACCGGUGGUCACGUGGGUUCAGGAACUCGAUAUCAUGCAAGCACUUUGUUUUCUUUUUAUUUUGUUCUACACCACAAUUGCAUGCUUUAAACAUGACACGGGGCCAACAGUAAAGGCGUUUUUUCAGCCAACUCCCUGUUAGCCAGUUUACCUUGUCAUACAUGGAGCAAUUUAAAAUGCUCCUUACCGUAGCACCAACGAGCUGUGUGGUUUUCACAGUAGGUUUUGGUCUGCCCUCUGCUUUCACUCGUAGUCAGUUCACGAUAGCUGUCCAAUGAAGGCGGUGACUGGCCAGAGUGUUGUGUCAAGUGACUGAAGUGCAAAAUUCUACCCUAUCGGUCACUGGUUCACGGGUGGGACUUAUCUGCCAUAAGGAUCAAUUGAAACGGAAAAUAAACACGAGCCGCCUGGGGUUCACUCGAUUUACAUUGAAGUCAAUGGGAAUAGUGGCGCUGUUGUGACUCACAUAAUUGAUUUCAGGAAAACAGCUCGUCUUCGUGAGUAUUUCUGUUUCAAAGCACUGAAAAUGGGAUUGUUGUAAGAUUUUUGGUUUAUUUAUUUUUUAACAUUUUUUUGGUGAAGCACUGCUUCACCUGUAGUCUUAUAGAAGCCUCCACUGCUCCAAACUCUAUUUGUGAAACAUGCAGACGGCCUAGUGAGACUGCCAGCAGGCAGCAGCAAAGAGAUGUAGCGACCUCGGUUUAUUUCUUCAGCUUUCACAUACACACAAACACGCACACAGGGUGCUUGGUCUUUUUUUUGUUUUGUCGUUGUCUGUUAAACCGCCAAGUGGAGCGACGUGUCUGGGAAGCUGGCCUCUUGGUCUGAGCCUGUGGAGGCAUCGCUUCUCGGCCUUUUGGCUAAGAUCAAGUGUAGUAUCUGUUCUUAUCAGUUUAAUAUCUGAUACGUCCCCUACCCGGGGACCAUAUAUUAAAUUGAUUUUUGGAACUGGGAGAUGGAAAAGGGGCUUGCUCCGUCCACUCCACGCAUCGACCUGGUAUUGCAGUACCUCCAGGACCGGUGCACC